rnacentral:lncRNA from 1 species
GCUGGCUCUGUGGUGAUUACAGUGGGUUCUGGGAUCUGAUCAGCUAAUCAUCGACCGCUAGAAUAGACCACCACCAAUAACUUGUUCUACGUAAGUUAGCCACCAUAAAUGCUCAGGAUGCUGCAACCUAUACACAGAACCUUCCUUACCUAAUAACUUGACUAGUUCUGGCACCGAGGUCAUAGAUUGUUGAGUCCCCGUGGCUCACAGAUUACUUCAACACCCCAACAGGUACAAGUACGCCCGACACAGGUGAUCCCGAUGGCACGCAGCUGGCGUGGCAGUACGAUGAGGAGAAUGACCCCUUGUACGUGAACUAUCGAGAAGAGUGAGGCGUAGUCGUGAUCGUGGCAAGCAUGCAGGGUAGAAUAGCCUUUUCUCAUGUUAUGUGGUCCGUAGCGGAACUACCUUGUUGGAAUAAAUGUGUGAUGUAAACUCUGAUAUAUUCUAUGAGAUGACAGAUGUUUCCCUAUUUGUCGUUCUAUUAUUAUGUAUGUGCUAUGUUACCGUGCUUGCGAAACGCUUAGAUGCGCUUCUUUACAUUUUGGGGCCUCGUUCCCUAAAUUGGAAAGGACCG